AGAGUUUGAUUAUGGCUCAGGAUGAACGCUAGCUACAGGCUUAACACAUGCAAGUCGAGGGGCAGCAUGAACUUAGCUUGCUAAGUUGAUGGCGACCGGCGCACGGGUGAGUAACGCGUAUCCAACCUUCCCCUUAGUAGGGCAUAGCCCGUAGAAAUGCGGAUUAAUACCCUAUGUUAUUCGUCGAGGACAUCUGAAGUGAAUCAAAGGUUUACCGCUAAGGGAUGGGGAUGCGUCUGAUUAGGCAGCAGGCGGGGUAACGGCCCACCUGGCCUACGAUCAGUAGGGGUUCUGAGAGGAAGGUCCCCCACAUUGGAACUGAGACACGGUCCAAACUCCUACGGGAGGCAGCAGUGAGGAAUAUUGGUCAAUGGGCGAGAGCCUGAACCAGCCAAGUAGCGUGCAGGAUGACGGCCCUAUGGGUUGUAAACUGCUUUUAUGCGGGGAUAAAGUUCACUACGUGUAGUGUUUUGUAGGUACCGCAUGAAUAAGGACCGGCUAAUUCCGUGCCAGCCGCUGC
rnacentral:rRNA from 1 species